rnacentral:rRNA from 1 species
UUCGAUCAUGGCUCAGAUUGAACACGCUGGCGGGAUGCUUAUACCGUCAGGUGGCAGCACGGACUUCGGUCUGGUGGCGAGUGGCGAACGGGUGAGUAAUGUAUCGGAACGUGCCCUAGUAGCAGGAUAACCCUGCGCGAAAGCGUAGCUAAUACCGCAUACGCCCUUCGGGGGAAAGCGGGGACCUUCGGGCCUCGCACUAUUAAACGGCCGAUAUCGGUUUAGCUGAGUUGGUGGGGUAACGGCUCACAAGGCGACGAUCCGUAGCUGGUUUGAGAGGACGACCAGCCACACUGGACUGAGACACAGCCCAGACUCUACGGGGAGGGCGGCAGUGGGGGAAUUUUGGACAAUGGAAACCUGAUCCAGCCAUCCCGCGUGUGCGAUAGAGGCCUUCGGGUUGUAAAAGCACUUUUGGCAGGAAAACGGCCCCUGGAUAAUACCCCGUGCAACUGACGGUACCUGCAGAAUAAGCACCGGCUGGCUAACUGCGUGCCAGCAGCCGCGGUAAUACGUAGGGUGCAAGCGUUAAUCGGAAUUACUGGGCGUAAAGCGUGCGCGGGCGGUUCGGAAAGAAAGAUGUGAAAUCCCAGGAAAACAGCUUUGGAACUGCAUUUUUAACUACCGAGCUAGAGUGUGUCAGAGGAGGUGGAAUUCCGCGUGUAGCAGUGAAAUGCGUAGAUAUGGAGGAACACCGAUGGCGAAGGCAGCCUCCUGGGAUAACACUGGCACAUCGCCGCAGCGUGGGGAGCAAACGGGAUUAAAGAUACCUGGUAGUCCACGCCCUAAACGAUAUCAACUAGCUGUUAGGGCCUUCGGGCCUUGGUAGCGCAACUAACGCGUGAAGUUGACCGCCCUGGGAAGUACGGUCGCAAGACCAAAACUCAAGAUAUUGACGGGGACCCGCACAAGCGGUGGAUGAUGUGGAUUAAUUCGAUGCAACGCGAAAAACCUUACCACCCACUUGACAUGUCUGGAAUCCCGAAGAGAUUUGGGAGUGCUCGCAAGAGAACCGGAACACAGGUGCUGCAUGGCUGUCGUCAGCUCGUGCUCCGUGAGAUGUUGGGUUGAAGUCCCGCAACGAGCACAGCCCUUGUCAUUAGUUGCUACGAAGAGGCCACUAAUGAGACUGCCGGUGACAAACCGGAGGAAGGUGGGGAUGACGUCAAGUCCUCAUGGCCCUUAUGGGUAGGGCUACUACUGAUCAUACAAUGGUCGGGACGGUUAUGGCAACCCGCGAGGGGAGCCAAUCCCAGAAACCCGAUCGUAGUCCAGUCCUACGCAGUCUGCAACUCGACUGCGUGAAGUCGGAAAAUGUGUAGUAAUCAUGGAGAUCAGCAUGUCGCGGUGAAUACGUUCCCGGGUCUUGUACACACCGCCCGUCACACCAUGGGAGUGGGUUUACCAGAAGUAGUUAGCCUAACCGUAAGGAGGCGAUUACCACGGUAAGUUCAUGACUGGGGUGAAGUAAUAACUCGCAGUAA